rnacentral:misc_RNA from 1 species
GAAACCCUUUACAGAUAGAAGACCUAAAGAAAUUUCCAGCAAAGUAAACGCCAUUUGUAGCCAAGAACUUGAGCAGGUUCUCACAGGCUAAUAAAACUUAGGAACGAUUGGCGAUCCCCAAAAUCAGUAAUGUGAAUCAUGUGCAGGACUGUCGGCAUGCAUGUCCAUCGAUGAGUCGUUAGAGCUGACUGAAUUAGGGUCAGUGUUCUGAUGCUGAAGAAAGUUGGGUUCAUUGUUUCGAGUGGCUCCAUUUCCUCCUGCCAUGCCACUGUUUGGGUAGUGAGUUUCCUGAGCAAUGUGAUACUGUUGCAAACUACGGCGAACAGGGCUAGACAGAGCAUUUGAGAAGACUGAACUUUUGGAAUGAUUAUCAGAGUGAUCGGUUCGACUUCCUUGUCCGGCGGUUGCUUGCGCAGAAAGACCUGAGGCUGGAAAGCUUGAGCUUGUAAACUGCAUUGUUGGUUGAGCAUGUUGAUGUUGAUGGACUGCUGGUCUGGGGGACAUUGACGGUUCCUCUCCACAGUAAUCCAACUCGUUCCGUAUGUAAUUGAGUACAUCAGCCGUUGUCACUCUAGAUCCACCUUCUUGUUGUCUAAACAUCCAUUGAUAAAGCUUUUCCAUGGCGUGACGUUCCCCGGCUUGGAAAGAAAGCUUCUGAUGGUUCAUAGCCUGGGUGUAAAGCUGGGAGAGAGAGUUGGCCGCACUGCAAAAAGAGGCGUACAUGGUCCGAUCUACCUCGUCGAGGCUGGUAGCGAUAGAUUUCCGCUUCUUGGCCAUGGUGAAGGGAUUAAACUUCUUCUCCGGUGAGUGAGAGGUCUGAUUCCGGCGGGGUAUGGGGGAUUUUUGUUCUCACAGUGAAGAUGAAGAUUUUGGGAGAAUUGGGAUUUGGG